UAGGGAAUCUUCCACAAUGGACGAAAGUCUGAUGGAGCAACGCCGCGUGAGUGAUGAAGGGUUUCGGCUCAUAAAACUCUGUUGUUGGAGAAGAACGGGUGUCAGAGUAACUGUUGACAUCGUGACGGUAUCCAACCAGAAAGCCACGGCUAACUACGUGCCAGCAGCCGCGGUAAUACGUAGGUGGCAAGCGUUGUCCGGAUUUAUUGGGCGUAAAAGCGAGCGCAGGCGGUUUUUUAGGUCUGAUGUGAAAGCCUUCGGCUUAACCGGAGAAGUGCAUCGGAAACCGGGAGACUUGAGUGCAGAAGAGGACAGUGGAACUCCAUGUGUAGCGGUGAAAUGCGUAGAUAUAUGGAAGAACACCAGUGGCGAAGGCGGCUGUCUGGUCUGCAACUGACGCUGAGGCUCGAAAGCAUGGGUAGCGAACAGGAUUAGAUACCCUGGUAGUCCAUGC
rnacentral:rRNA from 1 species